GACGAACGCUGGCGGCGUGCUUAACACAUGCAAGUCGUACGGUAAGGCCCUUUCGGGGGUACACGAGUGGCGAACGGGUGCGUAACACGUGAGUAACCUGCCCACAACUUUGGGAUAACGCUAGGAAACUGGUGCUAAUACUGGAUAUGUGCUCCUGCUGCAUGGUGGGGGUUGGAAAGCUCCGGCGGUUGUGGAUGGACUCGCGGCCUAUCAGCUUGUUGGUGGGGUAGUGGCCUACCAAGGCGGCGACGGGUAGCCGGCCUGAGAGGGUGACCUGCCACAUUGGGACUGAGAUACGGCCCAGACUCCGACGGGAGGCAGCAGUGGGGAAUAUUGCACAAUGGGCGCAAGCCUGAUGCAGCAACGCCGCGUGCGGGAUGACGGCCUUCGGGUUGUAAACCGCUUUCAGCAGGGACGAAGCUUUUUGUGACGGUACCUGCAGAAGAAGCACCGGCUAACUACGUG
rnacentral:rRNA from 1 species